rnacentral:rRNA from 1 species
AGAGUUUGAUCCUGGCUCAGGAUGAACGCUAGCGGCAGGCUUAACACAUGCAAGUCGAGGGGCAGCGCGGGAUAGCAAUAUCCUGGCGGCGACCGGCGGAAGGGUGCGUAACGCGUGAGCGACAUGCCCGUUGCCCGGGGACAACCGGUGGAAACGCCGACUAAUCCCCGAUGGGAUAUUGUGCCGCAUGGCACGAUAUUGAAAGUUACGGCGGCGACGGAUUGGCUCGCGUCCGAUUAGCUGGUUGGCGGGGUAACGGCCCACCAAGGCUGCGAUCGGUAGGGGUUCUGAGAGGAAGGCCCCCCACAAUGGGACUGAGACACGGCCCAUACUCCUACGGGAGGCAGCAGUGAGGAAUAUUGGUCAAUGGGCGGAAGCCUGAACCAGCCAUGCCGCGUGCGGGAAGGAGGCCCUAUGGGCUGUGAACCGCUUUUGCCUGGGGGCAAUAAGGGCGUCGCGCACGUCCGAUGAGAGUACCAGGCGAAUAAGCAUCGGCUAACUCCGUGCCAGCAGCCGCGGUAAUACGGGGGAUGCGAGCGUUAUCCGGAUUCAUUGGGUUUAAAGGGUGCGUAGGCUGUGCGUCAAGUCGGGGGUGAAAUUCCGGGGCUCAACUCCGGGGCUGCCCUUGAUACUGUCGCGCUGGAGUGCGGAUGCCGCCGGAGGAAUGAGUGGUGUAGCGGUGAAAUGCUUAGAUAUCACUCAGAACACCGAUUGCGAAGGCAUCUGGCGAAUCCGUAACUGACGCUGAGGCACGAAAGCGUGGGGAUAGAACAGGAUUAGAUACCCUGGUAUUCCACGCCGUAAACGAUGAUGGCUAACCGCCGGCGACACACUGUCGGUGGCCAAGCGAAAGCGAUAAGCCAUCCACCUGGGGAGUACGUCGGCAACGAUGAAACUCAAAGGAAUUGACGGGGGCCCGCACAAGCGGAGGAACAUGUG